UAUAAAGGUUGCUGCUUUUAGAUUGUUGUUGGACUUCAAUAGAGAGUUAUAUUUCAGGUAUUCACUUAAAAAAGACACUGCACGUGAUUUUAAGAACUUCAUCGCUUUGUAUCGAGGACAGCUUUCUUUUGUGGCCAACCAAUUGAAAUCGAUUCAGCUGUCACUCAACUCGCUGAAACCGAUUUGAUAUUUAGUUCCUGUGGCUACUCAACUCUAGUAUUGAAAAUUGUUAAAAAAAGUUAACGGCGGCCGUAGAUGAUAGUUUUUGUUAUGGUAUUUUGUUGAACGUUCUAAUAGUGCAGCCAAAACAUUUUUUUAUGAAAAUGGCGGGGGCAGAUGGCGCUGGUGCUGCUCAUUAAGAGGGCCCCGCACCCCGCCCCCUCCCACGUCCAUUCUUCACGGGUGCCGAUCUGCCGAAGAGAAUGGAUCUAGCAUCAACGAAACCCUUUAGGUAA